rnacentral:rRNA from 1 species
AUUGAACGCUGGCGGCAUGCCUUACGCAUGCAAGUCGAACGGUAACAGGCCUUCGGAUGCUGACGAGUGGCGAACGGGUGAGUAAUACAUCGGAACGUGCCUAGUAGUGGGGGAUAACUACUCGAAAGAGUGGCUAAUACCGCAUGAGAUCUACGGAUGAAAGCAGGGGAUCGCAAGACCUUGUGCUACUAGAGCGGCCGAUGGCAGAUUAGGUAGUUGGUGGGAUAAAAGCUUACCAAGCCGACGAUCUGUAGCUGGUCUGAGAGGACGAUCAGCCACACUGGGACUGAGACACGGCCCAGACUCCUACGGGAGGCAGCAGUGGGGAAUUUUGGACAAUGGGCGAAAGCCUGAUCCAGCAAUGCCGCGUACAGGAUGAAGGCCUUCGGGUUGUAAACUGCUUUUGUACGGAACGAAAAGCCCUGGGUUAAUACCCUGGGGUCAUGACGGUACCGUAAGAAUAAGCACCGGCUAACUACGUGCCAGCAGCCGCCGUAA